rnacentral:rRNA from 1 species
AUGACUUGCAACCCUAAAUGGGAAGAGAUAACAAAUGAGUUGCUUCCUGGACAGACGGUGCAAGACCGACCUGAUAUUGUGGCUCGCGUGUUCUCUAGCAAACUAGAGGCUAUGAAAGAUAUGUUGCUCAAGAAGAUGGUCCUGGGUGUUGUUGUUGCUUAUGUGUACAUAGUCGAGUUCCAGAAGAGAGGCCUCCCCCACGCACAUUUUUUGUUGAUCAUGGAUUCAACAUAUAAGCUUCUCGUCCCGGAGCAGUAUGACCGACUCAUUUCCGCAGAGCUCCCAGACAAGCAGAAGUAUCUGGAAUUGUAUGCAAUGGUGGUAAAACAUAUGAUGCACGGACCAUGCGGUGCUCUCAACCCGAAGAAUGUUUGCAUACAAGAUAAUGAAUGCAAGUGCAGAUACCCGCGGCCAUUCAAUGAGAACACGGUACAAGGCAAGGACUCAUACCCAGUUUAUUGGCGUAGAGAUGAUGGAAGACGCGCUAAGGUCUGA